CAGGUGCAGCCGACUGUUGCCUCAGCAGGUUUUCUGAACCUGGGGACCAGGGACGAGCAGGAACCAACCGAAGCAGUAUGGGCUGGACUGAACCGCAUCCAACAACAGGAAUGACCCUGCUUCAGACAUGGCCCACUGCUUCACGUGGCAUCUCCUCUUCUAGUUUCAAAAGGGAUCCACGACUCAGUCCAAAGAGCAUUUCAUCCCCUGGGCCCUGGGGUCAUUUCGGAAAUGGAGAUGUGACUGGAGUUGGCUAACUCAGGCCCAUGCCACGUCUUCAAGCUGAACUCACGGUCCUGCUGCCAAGCACACCCGUCUGGCCCUCUCGUCACGUCUUCCCCAUCUCAGCAAGUGGUAUCACCACCUAUCAAGAUUCUGGAGCCAGAACCUGGGAGAUACUCCGCAUCGGCUCUUGCCCUCCAUCCCUCCAUCCAUGAGUAAGUCGCAUUGAUUCGACGUCCAAAGAGAUUCCAACUAUGUGCUCUUCUCUCCAUUUCUAACACCUGCUUCUGGAUAGCCAUCAUUUCACCCAGAAGCUUCUUACCUGACCUCCAGGCACCUGUGCUUGCUCCCUACAGCCCAUUGUCCCCACAACGGCCAGAGUGACUGAAAAACACAAGUCAGAGGGUGUCAUUUCUCUGCUCAAGUACUUCCAGUGCCUUUCCAUUGUUCACGGAACAAAAUCUUAACGAUUUACUCCAGUGAGCAGAGCUCUGCACGAUCUAGCCUCUGCCUAACUUUCCAUCCACAGCCUGUGGGACUCCCUCCCUGACCAGACAUAGGUCCCAAUGGCCCUUGGUUUCCUCAAGCACACCAAGUUCAUCCCCUCUCCAAGGUCUUAGCACAUGCUGUGUACCUCCCUGGAUGCCCCUUAGGUUUGCUAUUCACGUGGCUGGACCCUGGUCAUAACCAGCAUAUCAGUUUAAAUGCCACUUCCUCCAAGAGCUCUUUGUACCCAUGAGUCCUUUGGACAAAUAAGUCCUAGCACUUAUUGUCACUUGGCAAUUAUUUUAUUUGUCUGGUUGUUUUGA